rnacentral:tRNA from 2 species
GUCCCUGUCGAUUAGUGGUUAGAUCAUCACGUUGUGGCUUCCCACAGAACCGUGAAGACGCAGGCUCGAAUCCUGCCUGGGACA